AUUGAACGCUGGCGGCAGGCUUAACACAUGCAAGUCGAGCGGAGCGAGGGUGCUUGCACCUUAGCUUAGCGGCGGACGGGUGAGUAAUGCUUAGGAAUCUGCCUAUUAGUGGGGGACAACAUUCCGAAAGGAAUGCUAAUACCGCAUACGCCCUACGGGGGAAAGCAGGGGAUCUUCGGACCUUGCGCUAAUAGAUGAGCCUAAGUCGGACUAGCUAGUGGGUGGGGUAAAGGCCUACCAAGGCGACGAUCUGUAGCGGGUAUGAGAGGAUGAUCCGCCACGCUGGGACUGAGACACGGCCCAGACUCCUACGGGGGGCAGCAGUGGGGAAUAUUGGACAAUGGGCGGAAGCCUGAUCCAGCCAUGCCGCGUGUGUGAAGAAGGCCUUUUGGUUGUAAAGCACUUUAAGCGAGGAGGAGGCUACUUAGAUUAAUACUCUGGGAUAGUGGACGUUACUCGCAGAAUAAGCACCGGCUAACUCUGUGCCAGCCGCCGCAGUAAAAC
rnacentral:rRNA from 1 species